AUGGCCGCCGCCACGGCUCCGCGUCUGCAGGAACAGUCGGAGAUGGAAGAUGCUGAUAAUUCUGGAAAGAGUGUACACGAAGAAAAUGGAGAAGUAUCAGAAGACCAAUCUCAAAAUAAGCACAGUCGUCACAAGAAAAAGAAGCAUAAACACAGAAGUAAGCAUAAGAAACAUAAACAUUCCUUAGAAGAAGACAAGGAUAAAAAACGUAAACAUAAGAAGCGCAAAAGAAGAGAGGUUGUAGAUGCUUCUGACAAAGAAGGUUUGUCUCCGGCAAAAAGAACUAAAUUUGAUGAUUUAGCGUUGCUGGAAGACUUGGAAAAACAGAGAGCCUUGAUUAAAGCUGAACUUGAUAAUGAGUUCAUGGAAGGAAACGUCCGGUCAGGGAUGGGGCCCAUAUUACAAGGUUAUGAAUCUGGCUCUGAAGAAGAGGGGGAAAUUCAUGAAAAGGCACGAAAUGGAAAUAGGUCUAGUAUUAGAUCUUCCACUACCAAGGGGAAACUUGAACUUAUGGACAAUAAAAAUAGUACAAAAAGGCGAAGUAGAAGCAGAUCCAAAGAACGGACUAGCCAUAGGUCUGAUAAAAAGAAAAGUAAGGGAAGUGUUAAAGAGAAGACAACUAGGAGCAAAUCAAAGGAGAGGAAAAAGUCUAAAAGUCCAUCCAAAAGAAGUAAGUCUCAAGAUCAAGCAAGAAAGUCAAAAUCUCCUACCCUUAGAAGGCGAUCUCAGGAGAAAAUUGGGAAGGCCGGAUCUCCUACUGAUGACAAGGUUAAGAUUCAAGAUAAAAGUAAGUCAAAAGAUAGAAAAAAAUCCCCAGUUAUAAAUGAAAGAAGUCGUGAUCGAGGCAAAAAAUCCAGAUCGCCAGUUGACUUAAGAGGUAAAUCCAAAGACAGAAGGUCACGGUCCAAAGAGAGAAAGUCAAAACGGUCUGAAACUGAUAAAGAAAAGAAGCCAAUUAAAUCUCCCUCUAAAGAUGCUUCUUCUGGGAACGAAAAUAGAUCACCCAGUAGAAGACCUGGUCGUAGUCCUAAGAGAAGAAGUUUCUCUCCAAAACAACGGGAUAAAUCCAGAAGAAGUAGAUCUCCACUUUUAAAUGAUAGAAGGUCUAAGCAGAGCAAGUCACCUUCUCGAAAUCUGUCUCCCGGUAGAAGAGCUGAGAGCCGAUCCUUGGAAAGAAAACUAAGGAGACGACUUUCUUCCCCAAGAACACAACCUCGUGACGAUAUCCUCAGUAGACGCAAGAGAUCAAAAGAUGCCACCCCGAUAAGUAAGUGGUCUCCAACCCGAAGAAGAGCAAGUAGAUCUCCCAUUAGAAGGAGGUCUCGCUCCCCACUCAGGCGGAGCAGGUCUCCUAGAGGAAGAAGCAGGUCCCCUCGGAGAAGGGAUAGAGGUCGGAGAAGCAGAUCACGUUUGAGAAGGCGGUCUCAAUCACCUUCAGAAGGUGGUCGUAGAAGUAGGAGCAGAAGCAAAGUAAAGGAGAAUAAAUUUAAAGGAAGUCUUUCUGAAGGAAUGAAAGUUGAGCAAGAAUCUUCAUCUGAAGAUAACCUCGAAGACUUUGAGGUAGAAGAAGAAGAAGAUGAAGAGGCCCUAAUAGAGCAGAGAAGAAUACAAAGGCAAGCAAUUGUCCAGAAAUAUAAAUAUCUUGCUGACGAUAGCAAUAGGUCUGUGCCGUCUGAACCCAGCAGCCCCCAGAGUAGUACUCGUACACGGUCACCUUCUCCAGAUGACAUUUUGGAAAGGGUAGCUGCUGAUGUUAAAGAGUAUGAAUGGGAAAAUGUUGACACAUUUGAGGCCUUGGUAAAAGCCAAGCAUAAUCUAAUGACAGUUGAACCAAAUAAUGGGUCAGCUCAGAAAAAGCUGUUGGCACUUGAUAUGUUUACAGAAUCUGAUGAUAUGUUUGCUGCAUAUUUUGAUAGUGCUCAUCUUCGGGCUGCUGGCGUUGGAAAAGACUUUAAAGAGAAUCCUAACCUCAGGGAUAACUGGACUGAUGCAGAAGGCUAUUAUCGUGUGAACAUAGGCGAAGUGUUAGAUGAGCGCUAUAAUGUGUAUGGCUACACUGGUCAAGGUGUAUUCAGUAAUGUCGUACGAGCCAGAGAUUCUGCAAGAGCCAACCAAGAAGUGGCUGUAAAGAUCAUCAGAAACAAUGAACUCAUGCAGAAAACUGGUUUAAAAGAACUCGAAUUCUUGAAAAAACUUAAUGAUGCUGAUCCUGAUGACAAAUUUCAUUGUUUGCGGCUCUUCAGACACUUUUAUCACAAACAGCAUCUCUGUCUCGUAUUUGAGCCGCUCAGCAUGAAUUUACGAGAGGUGUUAAAAAAAUAUGGUAAGGAUGUUGGUCUUCAUAUUACAGCUGUAAGGUCCUAUAGUCAGCAGUUGUUCUUGGCAUUGAAACUCCUUAAAAGAUGCAAUAUCCUACAUGCUGAUAUCAAGCCAGACAAUAUCCUGGUUAAUGAAUCAAAAACUAUUUUAAAGCUCUGUGAUUUUGGGUCGGCUUCACAUGUUGCGGAUAAUGACAUAACUCCUUAUCUUGUCAGUCGAUUUUAUCGUGCUCCUGAAAUCAUUAUAGGUAAAAGCUAUGACUAUGGCAUAGAUAUGUGGUCUGUAGGUUGUACCUUAUAUGAACUCUAUACUGGAAACAUUUUAUUUCCUGGCAAAACCAACAACCAUAUGUUGAAGCUCACCAUGGAUCUCAAAGGAAAGAUGCCAAAUAAGAUGAUUCGGAAAGGUGUAUUCAAAGACCAACAUUUUGAUCAAAACCUCAAUUUCAUGUACAUAGAAGUUGAUAAAGUAACAGAGAAGGAGAAAGUUACUGUCAUGAGCACCAUUAAUCCAACUAAGGACCUGUUGGCUGACUUGAUUGGGUGCCAGCGACUUCCUGAAGACCAACGUAAAAAAGUACACCAGCUAAAAGACUUGUUGGACCAGAUCCUAAUGUUGGACCCAGCUAAACGGAUUAGCAUCAACCAGGCCCUACAGCAUGUCUUUAUCCAGGAAAAAAUUUAAAUGAGAUGAAGAAGCUCCAAUGGUUUGAGUAAUUAAAUACAAAGACUGAAGAAAUUUCACAGCAGUUUAUUAAUGCAUAAACCUUCCACUCUUGAACAAAGCAGCUGCUUUUUAAAGCGGUAAUUGCUUCUUUACCUUUAUUUCUUCUGUAAAUGAAGCUUUUCUUUAAGAAUGUGACUUUAAAGUGUUGUC